GUUUGAUCCUGGCUCAGAUUGAACGCUGGCGGCAUGCUUUACACAUGCAAGUCGAACGGGGUGGGGGGGCAACUCCUCAUUCAGUGGCGAACGGGUGAGUAAUGCAUCGGAACGUAUCCCGUAGUGGGGGAUAACGCCGCGAAAGCGGCGCUAAUACCGCAUAUGCUCUACGGAGGAAAGUGGGGGACCGCAAGGCCUCACGCUAUGGGAGCGGCCGAUGUCCGAUUAGCUAGUUGGUGGGGUAAAGGCCCACCAAGGCGACGAUCGGUAGCUGGUCUGAGAGGAUGAUCAGCCACACUGGGACUGAGACACGGCCCAGACUCCUACGGGAGGCAGCAGUGGGGAGUUUUGGACAAUGGGGGCAACCCUGAUCCAGCCAUGCCGCGUGCGGGAAGAAGGCCUUCGGGUUGUAAACCGCUUUUAGCCGGGAAGAAAAGGCAUCUCCUAAUACGGGGUGUUCUUGACGGUACCGGCGGAAUAAGCACCGGCUAACUACGUGCCAGCAGCCGCGGUAAUACGUAGGGUGCGAGCGUUAAUCGGAAUUACUGGGCGUAAAGCGUGCGCAGGCGGUUCGUUAAGUCUGAUGUGAAAGCCCCGGGCUCAACCUGGGAAUGGCAUUGGAAACUGGCGGGCUGGAGUGCGGCAGAGGGGGGUGGAAUUCCGCGUGUAGCAGUGAAAUGCGUAGAGAUGCGGAGGAACACCGAUGGCGAAGGCAGCCCCCUGGGCCGACACUGACGCUCAGGCACGAAAGCGUGGGGAGUAAACAGGAUUAGAUACCCUGGUAGUCCACGCCCUAAACGAUGUCGACUGGGUGUCGGGGGAGAGAUCUCUUGGUACCGUAGCUAACGCGUGAAGUCGACCGCCUGGGGA
rnacentral:rRNA from 1 species